UACGGAGGGGGCUAGCGUUGUUCGGAAUUACUGGGCGUAAAGCGCGCGUAGGCGGACCUGCAAGUCGGGGGUGAAAGCCCGAGGCUCAACCUCGGAACUGCCUUCGAUACUGCGGGUCUCGAGUCCGGGAGAGGUGAGUGGAAUUUCUAGUGUAGAGGUGAAAUUCGUAGAUAUUAGGAAGAACACCAGUGGCGAAGGCGGCUCACUGGCCCGGUACUGACGCUGAGGCGCGAAAGCGUGGGGAGCAAACAGG
rnacentral:rRNA from 1 species